GGAUGAACGCUGGCGGCGUGCCUAAUACAUGCAAGUCGAGCGAACAGAUAAGGAGCUUGCUCCUUUGACGUUAGCGGCGGACGGGUGAGUAACACGUGGGUAACCUACCUAUAAGACUGGGAUAACUUCGGGAAACCGGAGCUAAUACCGGAUAAUAUUUCGAACCGCAUGGUUCGAUAGUGAAAGAUGGUUUUGCUAUCACUUAUAGAUGGACCCGCGCCGUAUUAGCUAGUUGGUAAGGUAACGGCUUACCAAGGCGACGAUACGUAGCCGACCUGAGAGGGUGAUCGGCCACACUGGAACUGAGACACGGUCCAGACUCCUACGGGAGGCAGCAGUAGGGAAUCUUCCGCAAUGGGCGAAAGCCUGACGGAGCAACGCCGCGUGAGUGAUGAAGGUCUUCGGAUCGUAAAACUCUGUUAUUAGGGAAGAACAUACGUGUAAGUAACURUGCACGUCUUGACGGUACCUAAUCAGAAAGCC
rnacentral:rRNA from 1 species